rnacentral:lncRNA from 1 species
CCGAGUUGGUCGUCCUCUCCCUCUACGCUUUCUAAGAAGAGCUUCAAAAUUUGCAGAGGUGGAUAAGGAACAGCAGUGGAUGAGGAAUGAGGAAGCUCCCGCUGGAGUUAUCCAUCCUGGACUACGAUGUGGUUCACUUCCCUCCAUCCAUGGCUGCUGCUUUCUGCUUGGCUAUAAAACUCGCUAAUAGAGACACGUGAGCAGUAAAGAACAAAUACGCCAGGAGCGAAAGCUUCAGGACAGGCACCGUGAUGGAGCUGCACUCCCCGCUCAUCUGUGACCUCGCCCUGCCUCUGGUGGAUUCUUUCUCUGAAUUCCAGUAGCAAUGGGCGUCUA